rnacentral:rRNA from 1 species
AUGCACGAGGGCUUCUUGGGAGUCUGCGCAAAGCACCAUGAAUACGCGAGGGAUUACAUCGUCAGUUUCAUGCUCGCCAAUAAGGACAAGGAGGCGAUUCUUGUGCCUUAUCAUCCCGUCGGCGGGCGCGCCGUCCUCAUCAUCCUCUACCCCCGAUUCUCCCACGCUCUUUACUUGGACUCGUCGAAGAACAUUCACAAAAAGGAUUACACCCACAUCAAGGGUGUUCUCGACAGUGCUAUGUUUUACUACCAAGCACGGGGUGGAGAGGUCAAGGACAAGAAGAGAAGGGGAGGCAGGCUCGCCUUCAGCCAUAAGACCGACUUCUGCUGCAUCCAGCAACCGAGUGAUUCUCUUAAUGAUGGAUUCUAUGUCCUACACCACAUGCUGGAGUACAGAUGGGAUCACCAGAACCUUCACAUGUCACCUAGAUCUGGCGAUGCCCAUAUUUUGCAAUGGGCAAAGGACAUAGGAGAUAUCGAGGAUCAUCGACUUCGAGCUGAGUUCUAUAACAUCCAACGCGAACUUGCCCAAAUCAUCAUGAAGGAGGUCGUCAGAAAAACAGGGAUGUUCUACGGAGAAGGACAAAUGUCGCGGGAAGACGUUCGAACAUGGGUAGCCCCUCAGCGCCUCGACAUGAAGCCUUUCACUAAGCUCGGGGACUAUCUCCCUGACAUGGAUGGAUGA